rfam:Myotis lucifugus cont2.30264, whole genome shotgun sequence.
GGUGGUUCUCAGGUGAUGCACUCUGGAACUGGGCUUCCUCCUCUCUGGUUCCAGGUGCCACACCUAAGAACCGCA